rnacentral:lncRNA from 10 species
GGAGUGGGUGUUCAGGCUGGCAGUGCUCCUGUGAAGUAAGUGUGCAGCUCUGAGCCCCCUUUGAUCUGGGGAUUACGAUGCUGUUUAGAAAGACUAAUUAUCUCCUUACAGCCCCAGGAGGCAGGUCCAGUUCCCCCCUGUUGUAGACACGCGGGAGCCGAGGCCACACAGCCAGGAGGAAGGAAACUGACACCACACCAAGUGACCAGAGAUGCUGGGAAUCCCCUAAUUCCUCUCCUUUACUGAGAUAACAGACAGAGCAGAACAAAAGAAUGAUCACUCUGAGCACCCGAGAGCGGAGAAGCUAGGAAUGCCCUUGCCAGCCCCUGCAUCCUGGAGAAUCUGGUCCAGGACUGUCUGAGUUACCUUCAGGGACCUGCCUGGGAACAUAAAUGAGUGAGCUGGGUUGAGCAGGGGCUACUGUGGUUUAUUUCAUAAGGGCAUUUAUGUUAUAUUAUUUUGACUUAAACACUCUUGGCAUAUUAAACACUUAGGAAGACUUUUCACUUCCGCAAAGAAACAUAGUCUUUCAC